UGAGCGUGCCUCCGACCGUCCUGAUCUCCAAGCCGGCUUGUCAAAACUACAAGGAAUGGAAGGGAGGGAGUAAGCAUCAAUGGUUAGCAAGUUCACAUGUAAAUAGCAAGUAACAUAACCAUGCAAUAAUACGUAGUCCACAUUUGCAUAAUAUCACCAAAGCAUUCAUAUCAUAUUUCUCAUUCAUGAUCUUACCAUAUUUUUGUUAUAUUGAAGUCUCAACCCGAGGGUUAAUUACAUACCUAUACAAAGUAUCCGUUCCACAACACUUACCAACAUGUCACCUUCAUUUUAGGUACUCACCUUAUCCACUUAAGAUUUACCCGUUGAACAUAUCGAAAUAUGAUUCGAAAACACGGAUUUCAUGCAUAUAAGUGCCAUACCCGCAGCUAGACAAACUCAAUAGCCUGCGAAAAUUAUGUAGCCAAGCUACCAUGUAACCCGCCCAUAAGUGAACUCGGACUCAACUCAACAAGCUCGGGCGUUCACAUCCAUAAGUGAACUCGGACUCAACUCAACGAGCUCGGAACUCAAAUAUCCUAGUGACAUGUCACUUGUAUUCUAAUCUAUUCCCAAGGUUCAAACAGGCUUUUUCCUCGAUUACACAUCUUUGUCGUCUUCCACGGAAUAUCGAAACCGAUACUCGGUAGCAAUUCAUAUUUAACAAGUAGCACACAUAAUUUGCAUAUUACUCAAUAAGAACCACAAAGCAUAAUAUUUCAUGAUAUUAAUCAUCAUAUCAUAUAAAUAACAUUAAAUUAUUUAAAAUGACAAUUAUGUUACUACAUUUGCACCUGAACUUACCUCGUAUGCGAAAAUAAUCAGUUUUACCAUUUUGUCCACAACUUGGUAUUUUGUCGAUUUUAGCCCGACUUUCGAUUUUCCUUGCUCUAUCAUUUCAAAUAUAGCCUAAUUAGGACUCAUAUUAUUCAAAUCAACCCAAAAUCAUAUUUUGGUAAAAUUACAAUUUUGCCCCCAAACUUUCACAUAUUUAUACUUUUGCCCCAAAUCUCGUAAAUUAAACUUUGUCAUAUUUUAUUAUAUUUUAUGAUACACUGAUCAUUUUUCCCUUCUAUAGCAACAUCCAAUUCUCACUCUAACAUGUACUUAUGAACAUUAGGUAUUUUUACCGAUUAUGUCAUUUUAGUCGUUUUUACGUAAAAUCACUUAGCAAAAGUUGUUUAACACAAUCUCAAGCUUCAUAUUCUACCAUAAAACAUCAAAAUUCAUGCAUAUCAUUCAUGGGUAAAUUUUUAAAUAUAAACCCUAGCUCAAAAUAUUGGUAGGAAUAGGUAAACCGAGCUACGAGGAUUUCAAAAAUGUAAAGAACAUUAAAAACGGGCAUAGACUUACAAUCAAUGCUUAAAAGUGUUGAAACCCUAGCUAUGGUGGAGAGAAAAAUUCAGCAGCAACUUAUGGAGAAGAUGAUCAUUUUUGUGUUAUUUUUCUCAUUUUAUUUCAUUUAAUAUCCAAAUGACCAAAAUGCCCUUCCUUACUAAACUUUCAAAAAUUCCAUCCAUGUCCAAUUUUUGUCCAUAAACUUAGAAAUUGGUAAAAUUGCUGUUUAAGACCUCCUAAUUGAUAUUUCAAAGCAAUUUCAUACUAGAAACUUCUAGAAUGCAAGUUUUGUAACUUAUUCAAUUUAGUCCCUAACUUAAAAUUAAGCACUUUAUGCAUAGAAUUUCUUCACGAAAUUUUCACACAAUCAUGCAAUCAUAUCAUAGACCUCUAAAUAAUCAUAAAAUAAUUAUUUCUAUCUCGGAUUUGUGGUCUCGAAACCACUAUUCUGAUUAGGCCCUAAUUCGGGAUAUCACAUUCAGACCCUAAAAUCAUCAUUUAAGAUGGACUAAUUAGCAACAAAAUAUGAAAUCAAAUCACUAAUUUGGCCACGAACGAAUAAACAUUUGACCUUAACACCAAGAAAAAACCCCUCGGGCACUUGAUUAUUUACCCAAACAAUAACAGGAGUCUUAAAAAAACCUCCUAUCUUGCCUAAAAAACAACGUGCGACACGUGAGCUUCUCCUAAUAGUAUACCAAAACCAUCAAUUAGAUUAAAGCUCACAAACAUACACACACUUCCACAUGAACAAGAACAACAACACCUCCUAACAGUAAAUAGAAACUACUUACGAAGAAAAAAAUACCAUACUAGGCAGAAACAUAUUAAUCACAAGCAUUCAGAAACGAAAAAGAUGAGGGAACAAUGAUACAACAAAGGCAAGGCAAGUAACAAAAGGAAAAUAAAAUAAGAGAAAAGAAAAAUGUUAGAAAAGAAAAAGAAGAAAAAGAAGAAGAAAGAAUAGGGAGUAUGAGAGUUAAAGUUCUUAAUUAUCCCACAUCCCUACUAACUCCCACUAAAAUUAUUAAUUAUCUUUAUCAGAUUUCCCUAGAGUUAAGCAAAAAUAAUUUCAACUUUACACACACAAGAUUCAAAUACACGACCUUUAGGUAAACUAAAGCCUUACAGCUAAACCAAUAAGCUCAUUUUUGUUAUUAAAUCAACAAAAAUAAUUUAUAAAUCAGAUGUUCAAAUAUAAGGGUUUAGGGAAAAAUAACAAAAAUUCAAUGAAAAGAAUUCGAACUCAAAACCUCUCAUAUACAAACACAACACACUGAAUUGGAUUAACUUUCUUAACAUAAUUUUCACAAAUCUAACUCAAAAGCCAAACAUAACCACUUGUGAUUUCACCAACUCAAUUUUUUCUAACCCGAUUUUUGGGAUGCGACCAUGAUUUUUUAAAUCAUAAAAUUUUUUCAACAUUUAAAAAAUUAUAAAGAUUUAGUGAUUAUAAAUUAUAUUAAAAAAUUCUAAAAAAAUAUAUUAAAAGAUCAUUAUUGAUGCGAUGAUCGAACAAGAGUUGUGGUAUGAUGAUGAUUGACAGUUCUUUGGUUGCAAGAUGGAAAGUCGUUGGUGACAAUUGGAAGAUAUUUUUGGGUUUAAUUGGUAUAAAAAAGGAAGGAUGAUGAUGAAAGGGAGACUCCCUUUUUGAGAUGGGGUGUUGGCUUAUAAAUUUAGAUCCUAGAAUGCCACAUACAUUCGACUAUAGAUGAUUAAAGGUGGUAAAGUCAAUUGAUUUGAUAUGGUAGGUCUAAACAAGGUAACUAGGCUGACGAUUAAACAGGUUGUGAAUUAUUUUAAAUGAGGCUUAGGACUUGUUUAGUAGUGCUUAAAAAAAAUACUUUUGGCUCAAAAAGUACUUUUGGAAGAAAAAUUGUGCUAAUAAAGUUAUUUUUUGCUGAAAUUUUUUGCUUUUCAGAAGCACUUCUAAAGUAGAGAAGCUAAAAUUUUUAGCUUUUCCUCUUUCAAAAGUACUUUUGGUGCUUAAUUACUUUUUCACCCCUCCAAUAACAUAAUACUUUUCCUUCUCUUUUUUUCUUGGUGCUUAAUUACAAAUGUGUUAAAAUCAUUAAUUCAAAAUAAAAAAUAUUUUUUUUAAAUAAUACAAAUAUGUUAAUAUCUAAUUACAAAUAUUUAAUGGUUAUAUUUAAAUAUUUAAAAUAUAGUUUACAUAUUCUAAUUAAAUUUUAUAAAUAAUUAAUAAUUAAUAUUUAAAAUUUAUAUUUCAUAUAUUAAAAUAUUAACAACAAGUUAUAAUAAUUUCUUUUAUAUUUUUACUAAAAUAUAAUAAUAUUAACUAAUUUGAACAUUAUUUAAAUGCAUAUUUGUUACUUGAUAAUAACAUGUCUAAAAUGGACAUUUUAUUUCUCAAAAGCACUUUCUCGUAGCAAUACUUGUUAAGUCAUAUAGUUAGCAGUUGUUAGUUAGUUAAUUAAGUCAGUAAGCAGUUUUAGAUUUGUUGUACGAGGCUUAUAUAACUCGUUCCAAAGAAUAAGAAUGGCAUUCAUGUACUAAUCAAUGAGAAGUUAAUCAGUUCUAUCUUCUUUUCAGUUGUUUCUACUAAGUUUGUGUUCAUUGUUCUUACCUAGUUUCUUUCAUGGUAUCAUUCGCUGGAUGAUCUUGGGAUCUAUGGCCACUACUAAUUUCACUGAUUCCGCUGCGGUUGAGCCGAAUCUUGCGUCGUUCUCUGGUGAUCGUGUGAUCACUUCCUUUCCUUGUCAUGAGGUGGUUAAGCUCAUUGAGAAGACCUACAUGCAAUGGCAGCAGCAAGUCAAGUUGAUACUUGACGGUUAUGAUCUUCUUGGUUUGUUAAAUAGUACCUUACCUCCACCAGUUAGAUUUGUCAAUUCUACAGAUGGUUCGCUAGUUCCAAAUCCAUCGACUCAAGUUUUCAAACAACAGGACCGGUUCUUGACCUCGUGACUUCUUUCCAAGAUCAGUG
rnacentral:lncRNA from 1 species